rnacentral:rRNA from 1 species
GUCUACGGCCAUACCACCCUGAAUAUGCCCAAUCUCUGAUCUUGGAAGCUAAACAGGGUCGGGCCAGGUUAGUACUGGGGACCAGCAGGUGGUGUGGUGG